rnacentral:lncRNA from 1 species
AUGUUAUCUAGUCAAGAGUCGGAGUCAGACAAUGAAGACGCCAGUUCAAAAUGCGAUUCUGUCGCCAGCAAAGUAUCAGAGUCGUCAGUCAAAUUUUCCGAAUCGGGAAAGUCAUACGAAAAAGACCGCUCCCUAUCAGAAGUCAUUGAAAACUGUGAAGUGAGCGAGAUUCUUGACACCAGCAGUACAUCUAAUGAGAGUUGUAAAACCUUUGAUCAUGACUUCGAAGAAACGAAAGAUACGAACCAUCUGUUUUCAAAUUUACUGGAAACCCAGGAGGAGGAAUGCAAGCAGCAGCCUUUAGUUUCGCCAUGUCCCAGUGAUGUGACGGAUCUUAUCACAGAUGCAAUACUCAGCAACUUGUUACAAGAUAGUUUUGACUGCAUCCCACCUGUCAAACCAGCUGUUGGACCAGCUGAGGAACCUGUGAAUACAAUGGAGACUCCCUUCAUCGAAGCCUUGAAACGGGACCACGAGGCGCUGAAAGUAAAGGCGAAAGAGCGAAGUGACGAAGAAAAGUGGGAGGUGGCAGCUGAAAGGGAUAAGCUAUAUAGUGCAAUCAGUGUGGCUGAGAUGCUGUUAGGCGUCUGUUUGAAUGAUGCCACAGAGACAGUUUUGAAUAUCCGGAAGAAAGUUGAGGUUAGCGGUCAAGGAGAUUCUGCUGUAGACAGUUCAAUCAAUGCACAGGAAUGCUUGCUGGAAGCUAAAAAAGAUUCGCUGCCUGCUUCUAUUGUUGAGCCCGUUCCCAAAGCCGUUGAAAUCACAUCAGUCAAAGACCAAACUGGUGUCGGACUUGGUGACGAUGUGGACUUCAACCAGGACUGGCUAAUUGAUGAGGCAUGCGUUGUGAGAGAAGCUGAAAAGUUACGACUGAAACAGCUCCAAAUUGAACAAGAAAUUGAACGUCUUCAGCAGGCACAGCAAGAAGCACAGCAGCAAACUCAACAAGCGCCUUACAUUUACGAGCGCUACCUCCGGGAAAUCCCGAACAAGCCUCCACCUCCGUACACACCUCCUGUCCAACCAGAGAGUGUCCCGACUGACGAAACAAUCGUCUUGAACAUUGUAACCUCAGCUGCAGCUCAUAUUUAUGACUCCAGGCUGAUUCAUGUCGAACCAAAACCACCGCCAAGCUUCACGUCAGAUAAAAACAACUCUUGGCCAUUUAUAAGAAAUUCCUGUACGACCUUUGUCUUCAGCUGA